UACGGAGGGGGCUAGCGUUGUUCGGAAUUACUGGGCGUAAAGCGCGCGUAGGCGGACCUGCAAGUCGGGGGUGAAAGCCCGAGGCUCAACCUCGGAACUGCCUUCGAUACUGCGGGUCUCGAGUCCGGGAGAGGUGAGUGGAAUUCCUAGUGUAGAGGUGAAAUUCGUAGAUAUCAGGAAGAACACCCGUGGCUAAGGCGGCUCUCUAGUACGGUACUGACGCUGAGACGCGAAAAGCGUGGGGGAGCGAACAGG
rnacentral:rRNA from 1 species